rnacentral:rRNA from 1 species
UACGUAGGAGGCGAGCGUUGUCCGGAGUUACUGGGCGUAAAGGGUGCGAAGGCGGUGGCCGGCGUGGGGGGGGAAAGCUCCUGGCUCAACUGGGAGAGGGCCGUCCAGACGGGGUCACUUGAGGGGCGGAGAGGGGCGUGGAAUUCCGGGUGGAGCGGUGAAAUGCGUAGAGAUCCGGAGGAACACCAGUGGCGAAGGCGACUUCCUGGCCUGUUCUUGACGCUGAGGCGCGAAAGCUAGGGUAGCAAACGGG